UAUUGCACAAUGGGGGAAACCCUGAUGCAGCGACGCCGCGCGAGUGGAGAAGGAUUUCGGUAUGUAAAGCUCUAUCAGCAGGGAAGAAAAUGAAGGUACUUGAUUAAGAAGCCCCGGCUAACUACGUCCCAGCAACCGCGGUAAUACGUAGGGGGCAAGCGUUAUCCGGAUUUACUGGGUGUAAAGAGAGCGUAGACGGCAGCACAAGUCUGGAGUGAAAUGCCGGGGCUUAACCCCGGAACUGCUUUGGAAACUGUGCAGCUAGAGUGCAGGAGAGGUAAGUGGAAUUCCUAGUGUAGCGGUGAAAUGCGUAGAUAUUAGGAGGAACACCAGUGGCGAAGGCGGCUUACUGGACUGUAACUGACGUUGAGGCUCGAAAGCGUGGGGAGCAAACAGG
rnacentral:rRNA from 1 species